rnacentral:rRNA from 1 species
GGGUUGUGAGGUUAAGCGACUAAGCGUACACGGUGGAUGCCCUGGCAGUCAGAGGCGAUGAAGGACGUGCUAAUCUGCGAUAAGCGUCGGUAAGGUGAUAUGAACCGUUAUAACCGGCGAUUUCCGAAUGGGGAAACCCAGUGUGUUUCGACACACUAUCAUUAACUGAAUCCAUAGGUUAAUGAGGCGAACCGGGGGAACUGAAACAUCUAAGUACCCCGAGGAAAAGAAAUCAACCGAGAUUCCCCCAGUAGCGGCGAGCGAACGGGGAGCAGCCCAGAGUCUGAAUCAGUGUGUGUGUUAGUGGAAGCGUCUGGAAAGGCGCGCGAUACAGGGUGACAGCCCCGUACACAAAAAUGCACAUGCUGUGAGCUCGAUGAGUAGGGCGGGACACGUGGUAUCCUGUCUGAAUAUGGGGGGACCAUCCUCCAAGGCUAAAUACUCCUGACUGACCGAUAGUGAACCAGUACCGUGAGGGAAAGGCGAAAAGAACCCCGGCGAGGGGAGUGAAAAAGAACCUGAAACCGUGUACGUACAAGCAGUGGGAGCACGCUUAGGCGUGUGACUGCGUACCUUUUGUAUAAUGGGUCAGCGACUUAUAUUCUGUAGCAAGGUUAACCGAAUAGGGGAGCCGAAGGGAAACCGAGUCUUAACUGGGCGUUAAGUUGCAGGGUAUAGACCCGAAACCCGGUGAUCUAGCCAUGGGCAGGUUGAAGGUUGGGUAACACUAACUGGAGGACCGAACCGACUAAUGUUGAAAAAUUAGCGGAUGACUUGUGGCUGGGGGUGAAAGGCCAAUCAAACCGGGAGAUAGCUGGUUCUCCCCGAAAGCUAUUUAGGUAGCGCCUCGUGAAUUCAUCUCCGGGGGUAGAGCACUGUUUCGGCAAGGGGGUCAUCCCGACUUACCAACCCGAUGCAAACUGCGAAUACCGGAGAAUGUUAUCACGGGAGACACACGGCGGGUGCUAACGUCCGUCGUGAAGAGGGAAACAACCCAGACCGCCAGCUAAGGUCCCAAAGUCAUGGUUAAGUGGGAAACGAUGUGGGAAGGCCCAGACAGCCAGGAUGUUGGCUUAGAAGCAGCCAUCAUUUAAAGAAAGCGUAAUAGCUCACUGGUCGAGUCGGCCUGCGCGGAAGAUGUAACGGGGCUAAACCAUGCACCGAAGCUGCGGCAGCGACGCUGAUGCGUUGUUGGGUAGGGGAGCGUUCUGUAAGCCUGCGAAGGUGUGCUGUGAGGCAUGCUGGAGGUAUCAGAAGUGCGAAUGCUGACAUAAGUAACGAUAAAGCGGGUGAAAAGCCCGCUCGCCGGAAGACCAAGGGUUCCUGUCCAACGUUAAUCGGGGCAGGGUGAGUCGACCCCUAAGGCGAGGCCGAAAGGCGUAGUCGAUGGGAAACAGGUUAAUAUUCCUGUACUUGGUGUUACUGCGAAGGGGGGACGGAGAAGGCUAUGUUGGCCGGGCGACGGUUGUCCCGGUUUAAGCGUGUAGGCUGGUUUUCCAGGCAAAUCCGGAAAAUCAAGGCUGAGGCGUGAUGACGAGGCACUACGGUGCUGAAGCAACAAAUGCCCUGCUUCCAGGAAAAGCCUCUAAGCAUCAGGUAACAUCAAAUCGUACCCCAAACCGACACAGGUGGUCAGGUAGAGAAUACCAAGGCGCUUGAGAGAACUCGGGUGAAGGAACUAGGCAAAAUGGUGCCGUAACUUCGGGAGAAGGCACGCUGAUAUGUAGGUGA